ensembl:lncRNA
GUGGCCAUCAUAAUGGAAAGCACAUGAUCACAAUUAAGGGAUUAGCUGUACUCCAGUGAUUAGUAGGCUACUGAAACCAGAUUUCUGUGUAAAGUAGAAAGGCUGAAUUCAUCCAGGAAUUCUUCAGGACAUCAGCAAGAUCCACAUCAGUUGAGUACACUGACGACAAGAGUCCUGUACGUGCAUCUGAAAUGACAUAUCUCUGAAUUUCCUUCCAUAAUGAAUGAGGAUUGCUUAUAAGGUGUCCCUCCUUAACCAUCAGUGAAUCCAUGGUGACACCCCACCCUAUCUCAAGAAACCUCUCACUCUACAAAGCUCUACACAUACUCUCCAUUCUGCCUCAACAUAUCUCCUAAAACCCCCCUGGACCAAGCUCUGUACUAUGGGAGAUUAGGCUUUCUGCUCAGCUGCUCUGAGCUUGUGGAAUGCUCUUCCUGAUCAUCUGAGGACUCCACAGACUGUGGAUGCUUUUAAAUGCAGCCUCAAAACCUACCUUUUUAGCAGAGCCUUUAAUUUGAUUGUUUUAAUCUGUAGCACUUUGGGAUUCUGCUUGAAUAUAAA